CUCUCUCUCGUUCUCUUUUCUGGUUAUUAGGUUUCCAUUACUUUGAUUUCAGAGAAGUAAUAAGUCUUAAAUCAGUAAUAUCUCUGAGAUUAAGGUUGAAUGAUUUACUGAUUUCAGAGAUCUCAAAUCCUAAAUCAAGCUCUAAUCUGAUAUCCUAGAACUGACUUAGCAGUGCCGUUCUCCACCAUGAUUCGAUCUAUCAAUGGAAGUAAACACAUUCCACCAUGAUUCGAUCUCAGUUUUUGCAUUAUAUUCUUCGAUCUAUAACCAUCUUCUUCGAUCUAUAAAUAUUUUUGGCGCUUUGAGAUUGAGCUAGUUUCGGGUUUUGUCAAAACCCAAGAAAUUUGAAAUUUUGGUAAAAAACACUUGUUCUGCGCUCCUGGUUUUGAAGGAAAAAAUUUGUUGAUUACCAUUUCCAUUAGAGUUCUCAGAGAUCUUUCUUACUCACUGAGGUUCCUCGGCUACAGUUUUUCUUUUGGUUCUCAAUCAGUUCAAUAUGAAUGCAUGCCUCAAGCUAUUUUGGGUUUGGAUGUUAUCUGUCAAGAAAAAUCUAGGUGGAACUGAAGAGAUAUGCUUUCAUUUUAAAUUUUGUGUAGUCGGUUAUAGUUGCUGAUAUUAUUGGUCCUCUAAUCCAUCUGCUUCAAAAUGCUGAGUUUGAUAUCAAAAAGGAGGCUGCUUGGGAAAUCUCAAAUGCAACUUCUGGGGGAUCCCAUAAGCAGUUCAAGUACUUCGUGGCUAGUUAAUUUGAUUUGGCUUCUAAACUGUAGUUCUAGUUAUGCCUGACAGGCAGUUGGAUGUGCAAGGGAUGAAAGUUAAAAGCUGGAAUAAUGAGCCUGUUGCUGGACAAGUUGUUGCUCUAACUUUGUGUCACACACGAGAGUUGGUGUACCGGUGGUUUGGAGAUGCUGAAAAGCUUACCAAGGCUCUUUCCUCUUUUGCUAGCAAGUUUUCCCCUGUAACUAAAUUUGUCUAUGAGGUUGACAGUUCGCUUGGUGCCCGAGGUGGUGGCUAUGAACAUGAGGCAACUAGAAAAUGAGAAAUGGUCGUCAUGGCAUCUUGGGAUGGACUGAGGUCGAAAGACAGCCAAAGAAUCCUUGUUCUCGGUGCCACGAAUAGACCAUUUGACCUUGAUGAUGCUGUUAUGCGUUGUUUGCCAAGAAAGCUUUUGUGAAGUUUCUUUAACUGAGAGAAGUGGCAUUUGCUUGCUUCGGUUAGUGUUUUUAUCACCUUGCUUGGUGCUGACUUUACGAGAAUGGAAUCUUUCGGCAAAGUUGAAGAGUUUGUGGAGACUCUGUUAAGUAAUAGUUAUUUUUUUCUUUAAAUGAAGUUUCCUCGCUCGUUUGAUAAUGGUAUGUUUUUAUUCUUAUUUGAUAAGUCGAAAUCUAUUUGAUGAACAUGUUAGUGAACUAGAUAGAAGUUGGCAAAAGGCUUCCAGGUGCAUCCGCAAGACUUAACACAUGCAAAAUUCUCAAACGUAGGUAGAAGAUAACGGAGAAGAACAUGGAACCCAAGGAGAAGAGGCUGUUGAUGUUGAUGUUGAUUCUACAGAUGGCGCUAUUCUUGUCAACAGUAAUGAAGCUGAAGAAGAAUGGGAUACAACUAAUGAAGGAACCUUAUCAUCCUAAAAGCAAUUGGUUUGGCUAAAUAGGUCGCAGAUAUGAGCAGUAAGUGCGACUAUUUACAAGGCUGGUUAUGAAGCAACAAGAAGCUAUACUUGUUUGAGCAUGUAGGUAAUGAAUGUUGAGCUUGUCUCCAGCCUUGUGCCUUUAAGAUUGUAUCUACUACUGCUAUACAGAAUAAGUCUUUAGUUUAUGAUUUCAUGAGUUGCCUAAGUUCUAUGAUGGUUGGUGUUUAUAAUUCAAUGUAUGAAAUGACUAUGUAUUGCCAAA